AGUGCCAUUGUUGAUCAUUUACAUGACUCCACGCCUAGGGCUUUGAACUACGCGGCAGCUCAUGGUCUUGUGCUGGUUUCACAUCUUCCUUGGAGGUUCAAUAUGCAGGCCAGAGCCGCUCGUGAUUCUUGGAAAGACCCGCGCCGGAGAACCCCACCUCGGGGACAGGGAAAAUACCCAGUGGCAGGGGUAGGAGGAGGAAGAAUUCGGCACGUGGGAAAAGAAAAUCCAUGUUAGUGCCUAGAGCAGAAACAUCUGAUCAGGUUGCUUUUCAGGAUGUUUAUGGAAGCUGCUGGAUUGGAAGAAAGGUCUGAACUCAAAGUGUACUGUUUGCAGUGAAGUUUUCUGAUAAAUGGUUGACAACAACUGCCUGCAAUUUGCUGGCUACAACUUCAAAGAGUUUCUGCUUGGGAAUUCCAGACAGAUAAAUUGCUAAAAC